CUCCCCUCACUUUCCCGGUGGCUGCCGGAGUUGAUUUGAUUGGGGGCACCUCCGCUUAAUAAAUUGGAUUUCCUUCAAGCUUGCCUGGUUUCUCCCCAUCUAGAUCUGGCCGUGUAGGCCGUUGGAGACGGAGACGAUAGCCGUGCUGCCCAUGGAGGCUACCAGUGGCAGAACAACCAUGAGCCGGACUGGGUGUUGCAGGCACGCGGAAUUUUGCCGGUGGCGAGCUAAUCGUUCCUGGCGGCCCUGGUGCCAACUACCUCGAACCACUAUGUCCGUUCCCAACAAUGCUCAUCCCUCUGUAAGUUCCGUGUAUCUCCCAUUGGAUCCAAGAAUUGUUCGUUUUUUUUGGAGAAGAGAUGUCUAUGAGAUUCAUACAUUUGUGUGGUUGAAACCAUGGUCUCUCACAAAUAUUUACAAACAAAUCAGUCGUGGAUCUGCAAAGUACCUCUUCAACAAAGGAUUUAGCCUCUUUAACCUAUUCUUUGCAGAAAUUUGUAGUUUAUCCUUCAUGAAAUUCCUUGUAUUCCAUCCUCUCAGACUGUACCCGAUGCACUAUUCAAUAUUCAGACUGUUUUUGCAUUGUGAUCUAUGUCAGGUUUUAGUAUGGCAUGAUUUGGGGCAAGGUAAGAAGAGCAACAUGAUCAAGAUGGCUAAAUGCAUUCUUAAGUAGAGACAUUCCAAGUCCAACACUCAAAGAAUAAAGAUAAGCUUUUCUUCUUUGCUGUAUCAGGAUCAGAGGCAUCGAGUAGUAUGCUCUACUCUAUUAGUUUGUUAGCUUCGUAAUUCGCUUCAGUUUGUUCAGGGGAUUUACCAGUUCAGUUAAUUAGAUGGCAUAGCGCUCAUUUUUCUGCUUACAGGGAGUUAUGUGUUUAGUGUAAACAGUGGGACUCAUUUUUGGAUUAGAUGUAUGCUUUUCUGAAAGAUAGCAUUUGGGUGGAUGAACACAUGGUUAGGGAAUCUUACGAAGUGGUGUUUUUUCAGUUCUUUAUUUCUUUACAGUAGGAAAGGGGAAGGGAGAAGAGAGGCUGGUCCAUGAAGUUGUAUUUCAGUUCAGAGCAUACUAUACCUUUAGUUGCAGAUCAUUGAAGAGUACCACUGUAACCAACGUCACAAACUCUGCAACCUUUCAGUUGUAGAAGAAGGCAGGAGAGGGACUGGAUUAAUCUUCCUCCCUGUGAUCAGAAGAAACAAAUCUUUAUGGCGUUGAUAGAAGGAGUUCGCCUUAAUAAAGAGGCUACUGGACUUUGUUAAACAACCGUUCUUUCUUGAUUUAUCCAAGAACAGGAGAGGGCGUUAAAACCAACAAUUUGUCUGAAAGGUUGUACAUGACUGACUACAAUAUGGUUAAGUUUUAUAAGUUUAUGGUUGUGAGAAAAUGUAUAUAUGGUCUAAUUUUCUCAUUCAUGUACAAUACUGUUAGAAUUUCUGGUCCACAAAUCCCCCUCUAUUAAUUACCCUUUUGUUCAUUUUGUUCAGCCGAGUUGAAUUCUUCAAUCGGACAUUGGUUUUAUUAGUUGAACAUUUGUAAUUGGUUGCGUAAUCAGUAAUUUUUACUUAUUUAAAAUGACUGGGACACCAAAACAGAGUAGUUUGUAGUUCAUUCACAUUAUUUUUUGUAGUAUACCGUGUACAUUCAGUCCAAUAUAUGUACGUUACAAUCAUGGCCAAUUCCGUACUCCAAAUUUGUGCUCAGUUCAUUGUAAGGUCCUGCAAGAUUAUUAAGGGAUAAUUUUGGUCAGGAAGCGGCACCUUCUAGGCAUUCCUGUUCUUUGGCAUUUUAAGCCUUCAAUUAUUUACGAAGCUAUUGAUAAGUAGCUAUGUUGCUUGGCUUCUCACCGUGUUCUAGGCAU
rnacentral:lncRNA from 1 species